AUGCUUUUUAAAGCACUCAUUGGGCCAUUGACUAGUGACCCACUGAGCCGUCAAGAAAAGAUAAAACAAGAAAGGGUAAAGUAAAAACAUCAUUUUUGGGUGAAGCAGCAGCGUGUUGUGUGUUUGGCUUCAAUCAGUGCUGUAACAAGG